UACCAGCACCCCGAGUGGUCGGGACGAUUAUUGGGCCUAAAGCAUCCGUAGCCGGCCUUACAAGUCCUCCGUUAAAUCCAGCUGCUUAACAGAUGGGCUGCGGAGGAUACUAUAAGACUAGGAGGCAGGAGAGGCAAGCGGUACUCAGUGUGUAGGGGUAAAAUCCGUUGAUCCAUUGAAGACCACCAGUGGCGAAGGCGGCUUGCCAGAAUGCGCUCGACGGUGAGGGAUGAAAGCUGGGUGAGCAAACCGG
rnacentral:rRNA from 1 species